GCCGGGGCCGCGCGGGUCGCCCCGGGCGCAGGGCGGCUCCUCCUCCAUGCGCCGCGGCUGCCCGCAGCGCCCGCUGCCCCGCGGAGCGCGGGGGCGGCCGGAGGCGGAGCGGGGCCGCGCGGAGGAUGCCGGCGGGCGGCGCGGCAGUGCGGGCCCCCGGCGGGGCGCGCUCCCUCAGCCCCACCGCGCUGUCCCGCAGCCUGUCCCGCCUGCGCGAGCAGCGCGCCCGCUCGCGGGCCAUGCUGGCCCUGGGGGUCACGCAGAUGGUGCUCGGCUGCCUCAUCGUGGCCGUCAGCUUCGCCGCCCUGGCGCUCACCACCUCGGCCCGCGUCCGCCACUCCUGCCCCUUCUGGGCCGGCUUCUCGGUGCUGUUGUCAGGAUUGAUCGGUGUUGUUUCAUGGAAGAGGCCCCUGUCCCUUGUGAUAACCUUUUUCAUGCUGCUCUCUGCAGUGUGUGUGAUGCUGAACUUGGCCGGGUCCAUUCUCUCCUGUCAGAAUGCUCAGCUGGUGAAAUCCCUGGAAGGAUGUCAGUUGAUUAAAUUUGACAGUGACGGUGUCUGUGUUUGCUGUGAAAUGCAGCAUCAAACAUCAGGCUGCAGUAACCUGGGAGAAACACUGAAACUGAACCCUCUGCAGGAGUGCAAUGCAGUGAGGCUGACCCUAAAGGACCUGUUGUUCAGUGUGUGCGCUCUCAAUAUCAUCUCCACCAUUGUCUGUGCUUUGGCAACAGCAAUGUGUUGCAUGCAGAUGGUUUCUUCUGAUCUUCUGCAAAUGUUUCUGCCACAGAGGCCACAUUCUGCUAAUCCUGACUGCAUGACUCCACAUGGAACUGUCCUGCACCAAACCUUGGAUUUUGAUGAGUUCAUCCCACCAAUCCCCCCUCCUCCGUACUACCCACCGGAAUACACCUGCACGCCCGUGGGGGAGGCACAGAGAAGUCUCCAUCUGGACUUCCCUCAUUCCCCAUUUGGUGCUUUAUAUGAAGUAACCAUCAAUAGCCCAGGAAUGCUGUAUCCAAGUGAGCUGCCCCCUCCUUAUGAGGCAGUGAUUGGAGAGAUGCCUGCCAGUCAGGUCACUGGUGCUGCUCAGCAAGUGUCUGAAUCGAGCCUGGGGGAGAGGAACACGACUCCAGACUUCAGCACGCAAGUUUCUGUUGAGAGCACCUCUUUGAUGGUCUCUGAGGCUGUUGAUAUCCCAGAGCGUAGCUACUCCUCUGAAGAUCUCUGCUCGCUGGAAGUUCAAGGAUCUCUCCACUCUGCAGACCUUUCUCCCUACUGCAUAACCCCCAAGGGGGCUGCAGACCAGAGCAGCAGUGCCCUGGAUUGCCACACUCACUGCAGGUUUCACAGAACUCGCUCACAGGGCUUCCCUGAUGAGGAUGACAGUUCCCACAGCCGAGCCUCUACAGACAGGUCUCAAGGACAGGAAAAGAACUGUGCCCACAGCAGGUCCUUGGACUGUUCCUCAGGGAAUUACAGCCCCUCAGAAAGAGAACUGCAGAGUUCUGCUCAAGAGAGCAGUGCCACGCCACCUUUGAAGCAAAAGAAAACCUGCUGUGUGGACUUUAGCCAGCCUCCCGCCCCUUCCCAAACCUCUCCCUGUUUUGGGCCUGCAAAUGCUUCACCAUGUGCAAGUGGCCACGAGGCUGCUGUCCUGCAGCAGCACGGUACAGAACAGCCAGCCUCAAACAUCGUCCGAUCCAGCAGUGCCCCUGUGUCCUGUUCCUCUGAAGGUGAUAAUUGUGCCUGGACUCCUGUGUGCAGGCAGUGUCAUGAUGCAGGAUUAUCUCCAGCUACAGGAGAAACAGUUCCUGUCUCUGGUUGUCAUAUGGCUGCCUCUGCUUGCCAGCAUUCUUUGAGCAGUUUCCUACCAACUGGAAAACAGAGGGAUACAAGGAAAAUUGAUCUGCACCUAAAGCCAAAGGCUUUUCACACAGUCUCAAAAGAGCGGCCACACUCCUUAGUGGACCUUAAGGCCUAUAAAGACACAAAAAUUCUAGUGGCAAAAUUUUUGGAACAUUCAAACUGUAAUCUCCCUCCAGAAGUGCGUCACGUAGUGAACAGCAUACGGUCAGUCAUUAAAUCUGAUGAGAGACACAUGGAAGAAGCCAUCUUCAGUGCCAAUAUCAUAGACCAGGUAAUUACGAGUUCCCAGCAGAAUGUGAACAGCUGCAGGAAGCGGCUGCAGGGAGAUCUGCACCUGCAGAGCUGUGGAGCUCUGAGCUCCCCCGCUGCCCUCGUGCGCCGGCCCCGGCUCAGCCGCGGUUUGGAGCGGGAGAGGCCGCACAGUUUAAUCGGAGUCUGCCGGGAGACCAUCCUUUGAGACUAUCCACAGACUGGAGGAAGAGGAAAUGGUGAUGGUCCUGCACUACAGCCAGUCUCUAAUGCUAGUGUCAGCCCCCAGAAAGGCCAGUGACUACCUGAGCUAGUUGUGUGGGGAGUUUGCUUUGGAAGGGUGUCAGAGAACGGCUUGGGAAGGAGGAACGGCAAGAGGAGGACCCUGAGCUGCCUGGGUGAUAUGAAAAAUUGUAUCUGCUGGAAAUCUACAGGAUCACUUGUCAGAAGAUCACACCUCUGUUGGCUUACAAACUACAGCAUAGAGUUUUGCUUCACUCCCAGCUCCACUGACUGAGCAAGAAGCUGGGAGAAGCUGCUGUGGCUUCUGCUGGUUUGGGGCGCAGAGUGCAACCCCCACAAAGCUGUGGCACAGACCAAAGAAGAAACCAAAAUGACAAGUUUAUGAGGAUCUGUAAUGAAAGACGUGACACUCCAUGGAAAACAAGGACAACAAAAAUCUUUAAUUCACUAGAAGAAAUCAAAGAAAAUGAAAAUUCCACAAGAACUUGGUUCCUGUAUCACAUCUCUGUACCAGUAUGUUUUUCAGCAGAUGGAUGGUGUAUUUUGUAAGGCGCCUCUUCUGAUGGUGUUAUUAAUUUGUUUUAGGUUUAAAACUCAGUCUCUCAUACACCUGUACUUCUUCCAGCAUGCAACAAAAUACUAACGUUGCAUGAUAUUGACAUCUUGUUUCAAGGGCAGCAGAGAGGGAAAUUAAUUUAUGACGUGAAUGUAAUGUUAAGGUAGCAAAACUUCAUUAGAUACCUGCAUCAACAUGCUUACUCAAAAUUAAAGUAGCUUUAAUUUGUUUUCUUUCAUUCACUUCGGGCUAAGUAAAUGAGACUAAAUUGAAUCAAGAUUGCUUUAACUCUGAAAUAGGCUUACCCACAUGUUUAAAUCAGUUUAAGUAAACUCCCUUAGUAGAUAAUUUAGAUUAAUUUUCUUGAAAUGUUUGUGUAUGAAGACAAGUAAAACUGCAAUUCUUCGUGCAAAUUCUCAUACAGUCAUUAGUACAUCGAGCAAAAUGCCCAGGGUAUCUCUGGGGUCUGUGCAACCUAUGGAUGCUACAAAGGAAACAAACUCUCCUCAUGUCUUGGCUGUUUGUCACAACAAUGGUUUUUAAUUUCUAUGAAAAAAAUUAUUGAGCUUGGAAAUAAUCUAGGGUGUUAAGCAAUUUUAUAAUCCUAAUGUUACUUAUUUGGAUUCCUUAAACACUGGGGGCUUUUUUGGUUGGAUGUCAUUGCAUUGUGUCUUCACAGCUUUAAAAAAUGAUGUUUUGCAGAAUCACUGUACUAGCAACAAAGUCAGCUACAUCAUGUAUAAAUCAACAGCAAGCAGCAAAUGCUUACAGCAGUAGAUAAUACAGAAAAAAAAGAGACAGAAAAAAAAGAAAAGACACCUUGGGCAGAAAAUAUUUCCCAUGAUGAAGGCAAUGUAAGCAACUGUCAGGUAAAACAAGACAUGUCUUGGAAGGAUGGAAUGGUGCUGAAAAUUGCCAGGGUCAAAUUGGGUCACCUGGGUGUUUUCUUCCCUUAUCUCUGUCUGCUUUAAAUAAUGCAAAAAUGCAGACUUGGCUGAAAUCCCAGCUCAUCGGAGCACUUAAGCAUGCCCUUGACUGCAAGCAUGUGUAAAGUCUUACUGAUGAGGAAGGGAAAAAGAAACAGGUUUCAAACGGGUGAAGGUUAGUUUGAUGUGAGGAAAGAUUGGAAUUUUAUGUAGAAUAUUGGUGCUUAAACAUUAGAUAAGUAUUUCUGAAAAUAUUUCUGCACUUGUCAAGGCGAUAGAGAUUACUUGGUUUUCUGCUGAUCUGCUAAUGUAACGGGUAUAAAGCUAUUUCUAGACUAAGUAGACUAGGUCCAAACAUUUUUAAAUUAACAUUUGUAUUCAUAAAAUAAGAAAAAAAACCCUCAACCAAAAAAAAUAAAAAUCUAUAAUUUAGCAUAACUGAAUUCAUUAAUUUGUUAGGAAUGCAUUUUUAUGUCUACUUAACAUCAUGUAAGCCAAGGGCUCAGUAUUUAGAGACUGCAGUCUGAGCACAGAAGUUAAGCUUCCCGCUGAAAUAUCAGACUCCAUGAAGUCACUGAGACCUUGGGAUGUGUGGCACUGCAGCAGAUAUUUCAUAAGCAGUAAAUGGACACAGGGCAUAAGUCACCUUCCAGAAUGUCUAUCUACAACUCCCAUUUUCGGACUAACUUCUUUAUUUCAUCAUGCUUGUUACUGUGUAAGGGAAUAAGAUUCAUGGUGAUAAGACAGAGUGAAGAAAAGCCAGAACCACUGGACAUUCAACUCCUAUGAGCAUGUAGUGGUGCUACUACUGAAACAAUUCUAACAGCAAAGGACAUUGAGAUAUGAUAGAUUAAAAGGUAUUUUUUAUGUUCAUGUGGCAUAUGAAAUAUAUAUCAACAGAAACAUGGAUAUAGCUACUCUAGUUAAGGAGUCAUGCUGAAAGUACUUUAAAACUGAAUAGGAAUAUAACCAGAAUAUGGUUGUGGUAUUGCUGUCAAAGUUCAGGGAACAACAGCAGUGUUAGCUGGCAGAAUCUUUUCUUAUGUGCAGAAGGGUCCUGAAGAAGGUCCCUUUUGGGGACUCUGCAUACAAAUUAAUAAUAAAAACUGUGUUUUUCUCUGAGUUCAGAGAGCCGUCAUGUAAGCUAUCAUAAGUUCUUAGUGAGCCAUGUAUUUAUUUGUAUUAGACAAUGUCAUAUAAUACCUGCAACAGAAAAAGCCUAAUAGAAAGCUUAUCCUCACAUACUGUGCCACUACAGAAAAAAAUCAGAGCAAGCAAAAUGAUUGAACUAAAAAAAGGUAUUACAUUAUGUAAAGGGUAUCCUGACCCCUUUCCAGCAGAGUAGUGAGCUGACUGGUAUGUAAAGAAAAAGACAUAACCUUUUUAUCCCAGUAAAAUUAACAUGUGCAGUUGUAUCUGCAGCGCUGUGAGGGGGGAAUUGUCUCGCCUGCUUUAAAGUUCUGUGCAUGCUGGCCUUGCUUUAUGCUUGUCCACUAUACAAUCAGCAGAUGCUUAUUACAAAGCAUCAGCUUGCUUUCUUGUCUCUGCUACCCUCAGGGAAUGCAUUUAAAUGUACCUCUAUUUAAGGCCUGUUAGCCAGUAUGUGCCAAGUGUUCCAUGUAAUAUCCCUCAGAUGUCAACCUGAAGGGACAAUCUUUGAACUUUCCGUUUGUUCUAGUUCUUUAAGUAAAUUACUGAAACAGAAAAUGCUUGUCAAGAUGGUGAGAUCAGGGAAUAAAAGAAAAAUGUGUUAGACAUCUUAAUAUUAUUCUAAAUUGCAUUAAGUUUUCCCUGAGUUGAGAAUGGCAUUACAAAUUUUUUCACAUUCUUUUAAGGCUUCUAUUGUGUAUGUCCAUGGCAGAUCUAAGGUAUUGGUGUCUUGAAAGUAUCCUACUGUCUUUUCUCACUUUACAGUGUAGUCAUUUGCUUUGCAGGAAGAGCUGUGUGCAUUUUCCCUAUAAAAAGUGCUUCCUUCAUCUGUCUGUGAAUCAGAGAAUGGUAAUGUUUUUCAGUACAAUCCUGUUUUAUUUCUGUUCAUCUACUUUGGUUAUUAAAUUGACUUAUUUUUCUUCAAACAGAAUAUAUGUAAUAGCACUUCAGAAGAAGUUGAAGAAACAUGUGAAAGCUCCUGAACAGAGGGCUGGAUUACUAUUGUUUGGUCAUUUCAGGAGAACCUUUCAACCUCAGUGCUGACAACUGAGGUUCCCAGAGUGCAAUAAUGGGCCCUGAAGAACACAGUGCUCUUACACAUUCAUAAAUCUCCUGCUGGGGCCCACUGUUACACCCUUUUCAACCCCUUCUGGAUUUGUAGCCAUUCUUCAUUUUCACCUGAAUCCUUCUGGGAGCUCUACCUGCUCCUCCUUUUUGUCACCACUAGGCACCCAUUGCCUAGUGGUGACAUUUCCAUAAGGAGGGUGAAAAUGUUAAAUACUUCCAUGCUUAAACUUCUCAGCUGUGUUCUCUUGGGUUUGACUGGUUUUUAGAACUGUGAUAUAUUUAUUAAAGUAUUUGCUUCCACUUUA